rnacentral:piRNA from 1 species
UAUGUGGUCCACUUCUCAGAGCCGAGUUGG